ACAGCAGUAGCCGCGGUAAUACAGAGGAUGCAAGCGUUAUCCGGAAUGAUUGGGCGUAAAGCGUCUGUAGGUGGCUUUUCAAGUCCGCCGUCAAAUCCCAGGGCUCAACCCUGGACAGGCGGUGGAAACUACCAAGCUGGAGUACGGUAGGGGCAGAGGGAAUUUCCGGUGGAGCGGUGAAACGCGUUGAGAUCGGAAAGAACACCAACGGCGAAAGUACUCUGCUGGGCCGACACUGACACUGAGAGACGAAAGCUAGGGGAGCAAAUGGGAUUAGAGACCCGUGUAGUCCCUGUCUCUUAUAA
rnacentral:rRNA from 1 species